UAGAUGCUGUUAUUAACUGCUCAGCUCGUUUUAACUGAUUUAGUUUCGACUGAGAAUCAAAUCAGAAGAGAAUAGGGCAUGGGUACUGCUGAUGUCU
rnacentral:pre_miRNA from 1 species